ACGGAAGGCAGCAGUGGGGAAUAUUGGGCAAUGGGCGCAAGCCUGACCUAGCAACGCCGCGUGAAGGAAGAAGGCUUUCGGGUUGUAAACUUCUUUUAAGGGGGAAGAGCAGAAGACGGUACCCCUAGAAUAAGCCACGGCUAACUACGUGCCAGCAGCCGCGGUAAUACGUAGGUGGCAAGCGUUGUCCGGAUUUACUGGGUGUAAAGGGCGUGUAGCCGGGAUGGCAAGUCAGAUGUGAAAUCUAUGGGCUCAACCCAUAAACUGCAUUUGAAACUGUCGUUCUUGAGUGUCGGAGGGGCAAUCGGAAUUCCUUGUGUAGCGGUGAAAUGCGUAGAUAUAAGGAGGAACACCAGUGGCGAAGGCGGAUUGCUGGACGAUAACUGACGGUGAGGCGCGAAAGUGUGGGGAGCAAACAGGAUUAGAUACCCUGGUA
rnacentral:rRNA from 1 species